rnacentral:ribozyme from 1 species
UGCAAAUUCAAAGCCAUAGCAGAAGUGCUCAUGGCAUGGCCCUGUCAGAUUCCAACGAAGCUGUGAAUUCUGCU